rnacentral:rRNA from 1 species
AUUGAACGCUGGCGGCAGGCUUAACACAUGCAAGUCGAGCGAGCGGCGGACGGGUGAGUAAUGUCUGGGAAAGCGCGUGAUGGAGGGAGAUCUCUACUGGAAACGGUAGCUAAUACCGCAUACUCGCAGAUGCGCCCAGAUGGGAUUAGCUAGUAGGUGGGGUAAUGGCUCACCUAGGCGCCGAUCCCUAGCUGGUCUGAGAGGAUGACCAGCCACACUGGAACUGAGACACGGUCCAGACUCCUACGGGAGGCAGCAGUGGGGAAUAUUGCACAAUGGGCGCAAGCCUGAUGCAGCCAUGCCGCGUGUAUGAAGAAGGCCUUCGGGUUGUAAAGCACUUUCAGCAAGGAGGCGUUACUCGCAGAAGAAGCACCGGCUAACUCCGUGCCAGCAGCCGCGGUAAUAC